ACUGCUGUGUCCUUUUCUUCUAGAGGCCCAUCCUGCAUGGCCCUGUGACCUGCAGAUAUUUGGAGAUCCACAGCUAAGAUGCCAGGAAGCCCUGGAAUUCUAGAAAUGGGACCAUUGACAUUUAUGGAUGUGGCCAUAGAAUUUUCUCUGGAGGAGUGGCAGUGCCUGGACACAGCACAGCAGAAUUUAUAUAGAAAUGUGAUGUUAGAAAAGUACAGAAACUAUGUCUUCCUGGGUAUCGCUGUGUCUAAUUUAGCCUGAUCACCUGUCUGGAGCAAGGAAAAGAGCCCUGGAAUAUGAAGAAACAUGAGAUGGUAGCCAAAUCCCCAGUUAUAUGUUCUGAUUUUGCCAAAGACCUUUGGCCUGAGCAAGAUAUAAAAAAUUCUUUCCAACAAGUAAUUCCGACAAGGUAUGGAAAAUGUGGCCAUCAGAAUUUACAAUUAAGGAAAAACUGUAAAAGUGUGGAUGAGUGUAAGGUGCACAAAGGAGGUCAUAAUGGACUUAACCAGGGUGCGACAACCAUCCAGAGCAAAAUAGCUUAUUAUGAGAAAUGUGUGCAAGUCUUUCAUAAAUAUUCAAAUUCAAAGAGAUGUAAGAUGAGACAUUCUGGAAAAAAUCAUUUUAGAUGUAAAAAAUGUGGCAAAUCAUUUUGUGUGCUUUUACAACUAUCACAACAUGAGAUAAGUCAUGCUGGAGAGAAACCCAAAUGUGAAGAAUGUGGCAAAGCCUUUUAAAAAGUCCUCCACCCUUACUAAUCAUAAGAUAAUUUAUACUGGAGAGAAGUCCUACAAAUGUAAUGAAUGUGGAAAAGCUUUUAACCAAUCCUCAACUCUUACUAGACAUAAGAUAAUUCAUACUGAAGAGAAACUCUAUAAAUGUGAAGAAUGCGGAAAAGCUUUUAACCUGUCCUCAAACCUUUCUAAACAUAAGAUAAUUCAUACUGGAGAGAAACCCGACAAAUGUAAAGAAUGUGGCAAAGCUUUUACACAGUCCUCAAACCUUACUAAAAAUAAGAAAAUUCAUACUGGAGAGAAACCAUACAAAUGUGAAGAAUGUGGCAAAGCCUUUACCCUAUCUUCACACCUUACUACACAUAAGAGAAUUCACACUGGAGAGAAAUCCAACAAAUGUGAAGAAUGUGGCAAAGCCUUUAGUGUAUUCUCAACCCUUAGUAAACAUAAGAUAAUUCAUACUGAAGAGAAACCCUACAAAUGUGAAGAAUGUGGCAAAACUUUCAACUACUCCUCAAAUUUUACUAAUCAUAAAAAAAAAUCAUACUGGAGAGAAACCCUAUAAAUGUGAAGAAUGUGGCAGAGCUUUUAACCAGUCCUCACACCUUACUAAUCAUAAGGUAAUUCAUACUGGAGAGAAACCCUACAAAUGUGAAGAAUGUGGUAAAGCCUUUAGUAUAUUCUCAAUUCUUACUAAACAUAAGGUAAUUCAUACUGAAGAGAAACCCUACAAAUGUGAAGAAUGAGGCAAAACUUUCAACUACUCCUCAAAUUUUACUAAUCAUAAAAAAAUUCAUACUGGAGAGAAACCCUAUAAAUGUGAAGAAUGUGGUAAAGACUUUAUUCUGUCCUCUCACCUUACUACACAUAAGAUGAAGAUGAAGAAUACUGGGGAGAGACCCUAAAAAUGUAAAGAAUGUGGCAAAGCCUUUAACCAGUCUUCAACUCUUAUGAAACAUAAGAUAAUGCAUACUGGCGAGAAACCCUACAAAUGUGAAGAAUGUGGCAAAACCUUUAACCGGACCCAAACCUUACUAAACAUAAGAAAAUUCAUACCAAAGAGAACCCCUACAAAUGUAAAUAAUGUGUCAAAGCAUUUAAUGUAUUUUCCACUUUUAUUAAAACACAAGAUAAUUCAUACUGGAGAGAACCCCUACAAAUGUGAUAAAUGUGGCAAUGCCUUUAACCAGCUCUUACACCUUACUGAACAUAACAUAAUUCAUACUAGAGAGAAACCAGCAAAUGUAAAGAAUGUGGAAGCAUUUACCUGAUCCUCAAAUCUUACUAAACAUAAGAAAAUUUAUACUGGAGAGAAGCUACAAACCUGGAAGACAUCAGUAAUUUUGACAACACCUCAAACUUUUCUAAACAUGAAAGAAAUCGUACUGGCGAGAAACUUUAAACAUGUAAAAAAUAUGACAAAACCUUUAAAUGAUUGUCACACUUGAUUGUAGGUAAGAUAAUUCUUACUAGAAAAACUCUUACAAGUGUGAAGAAUGGCAAUUUAUUUUUCAGAGACAGAGUUUUGCUCUUUCACCCAGGCUGGAGUGCACUGGCAUGAUCAUUGGCUCACUGCAAUCUCCACCUUCUGGUUUCGGGUGAUUCUCCUGCCUCAGCCACUAAAGUGGCUGG